rnacentral:rRNA from 1 species
CGCGUAGGCGGGCCUUCAAGUCGGGUGUGAAACCUCCGGGCUUAACUCGGAGCCUGCACUCGAUACUGUCGGCCUUGAGUACAGAAGAGGAAAGCGGAAUUCCAGGUGUAGCGGUGAAAUGCGUAGAUAUCUGGAAGAACACCAGUAGCGAAGGCGGCUUUCUGGUCUGAUACUGACGCUAAAGCGCGAAGGCUAGGGGAGCAAACA